rnacentral:rRNA from 1 species
UACGUAGGUGGCAAGCGUUGUCCGGAUUUACUGGGCGUAAAGAGCGCGCAGGCGGUCGUUCAAGUCGCGUGUGAAAGCCCCCGGCUCAACUGGGGAGGGUCACGCGAUACUGAUCGACUCGAAGGCAGGAGAGGGUAGUGGAAUUCCCGGUGUAGUGGUGAAAUGCGUAGAUAUCGGGAGGAACACCAGUGGCGAAGGCGAGUCUCUGGGAUGAUGCUGACGCUGAUGCGCGAAAGCCAGGGGAGCAAACGGG